rnacentral:lncRNA from 1 species
GGAGUCUACCCACGCGUCGGAGUAUUAUUUAGCCAUAAAAAGGAAGGGAAUUCUGGUAGUCGUGACAAUGGGGAUGGUCCUCCAAAAGGUUAUGCUAAGUGAUACAAAAGGCCAUCCAGUGUAUGAUUCCAUUCGUGUGAAAUGGCCGGGCGGUGGACUGGGAACGGUUGCUGGGGGUGUGGGGUCGCCACUAGGGGCGCUAAAAUCUCCUGGAAUUAGCGGCCGAGAACUUUGAGCAACACCACGGGCGGUACCGGAAAUUGCAGUUGUAUGACCUAUGCCUUGCAGCCCCGUCGGAAAACGCUGAUUGCCAUGAUGCUGUGCCCUUUGGUCGCCAGGCCCCAGAACCGGGGAGCUGUCACCAACAGAGCUGGCUUCCCGGGCCCAGCUCGCUGUUAGCCGGGAGAGCUCCUGAUCGCAGGCACACCCGGCUGGCCUGUGACCCUUUCUGCGCUGGCCUCCUGCCUCCUCCUGGCUGUGGGAACCCAGGCGACUUCUUACCUUCUCUGAGUGGCGGUUUCCUGCCCGUGGAAACACCUGAGCCAAGGAAGGAUAGCAUCCAGUUUGGACAGCGUAGGACCUGGCCAGCUUUGGACAGGGAAGAAGGCUUCCUUAGCGAAUUUCCAGGUAAGAGCACGCUAGAAAUAAAAGCUAUUAUGACGGAUGAAACGCUAAGCCUCAAAGAGAUUUCGCUGGACUGCGGUGAUGAGCGGAAGUCAAGGAAAUUAAAUUAUACCUGUCAGGGACCCAGCAGGAACCAUUCACACACUCGGGAAGUUUAAUUGAAGAGAGUGUAAUGAAGGAGCUCUUUACGGGGGCGGAGGCAGUGUUGAGCAAACUAACAAGGAAUGGUGAAGCGUCCAGGGACCAGCGACUGCGGGAAGCUGCUCCCACUCGUAGGCCUGAAAAGGGCAAGGCGAACAAAUGGUUUUGUCACAGUUCAGUGUGACAACCACGGCAGAGGGGCCACCAGACAGCAGCUGUGGGUGUAAGUAAGGAUACGCACCCUACAGGCAUCCUGUGACUUGGGAAAGAGAGAUUUAGAGGCGGGUUACAUACCCAACCUCAGGACAGGUGUUUGUUUGGCAGAGAGCUUAAGAGACCCACAUUCCAUUUCAGAGUCCUGGGUUCGAGUCCUGACUUGACUUGCCAUCCAGUUGCUGGCUAAUGUGCACCCUGGGAGGCAGCAGGCAGUGACACAAGAACUUGGACUCCUGCCACCCACGUGGGAGAUCUAGAUUGAAUUCUCAGCUAUGGCAGGCAUUUCAUUUCCAAGAAAAUAAAUGAAUAAAUGAACAUUAGAAAUACA